GGGCCCGUAACUCAGCCUGGCAGAGUGUCUGGCUUUUAGGUGAAACCGAAGAGCGCUGGCGGUCUAUAUUGGAGCAAGCUCCGAAGACCUUGCGCUCAUUCUGUUUCCCCUAUCCCCUUCAGUGGGUAGGGAGAAGCAAUGAUGCGGUUUCAUCAGAGAAACCAGCAAGUCGAGGGUUCAAAUCCCUCCGGGCCCG
rnacentral:tRNA from 1 species